rnacentral:rRNA from 1 species
AUGGAGAGGGUGGAUGCAGACACAUGCGUAAUCACCAUAGAUGAAGGGCGUUCAAUCAAGUUCACAGCAGCUGAUGUCAACAAUGUUUUUGGGUUUCCAAUAGGUGGGAAAAGGAUAUCAUCAUAUCCAUGUGACUUGUCGGAGGCAUGCAUUGAGUACAAGAAAUUUGCAGAAGAGCUUAGUGACAAGGGAACACAUAGCCUAAAAGCUGUAGAGGCCAUAAUGUUGAAAGACAUCCAGGAAGACUCGCCUAGCAUCGCCAUAGAGAUGUUCAAAAUUGCCGCUGUCAUUUUUAUUUUCGGGCAUUUGCUAUGUCCUUCGUCGAAGAAUGACUACACCAGCGUAGACUACUGGGGUGCACUGAACACAACUUUAGAGAUCAGUCAAUUUGAUUGGUGUGAAUUUGUCAUCGAGCACCUGUUAAGCGCUGUCCGAAAGCUGAAGACUGAUCUUCAGACAUGGCACUCAACUAUACAUCUUGUGGGUUGCCAUCUGUUCCUACAGGUUUUUGUGCUCGACAAUUUGGACCUGGGUCAGCUAACUCCUCGAGACCCUUCGACGCCCAGGGUCUGUGUUUUCGAUUAUGACAUCACCCGCAAGAUGAUAGAGGCGCUCAGUUGCAGUCAACGGUUACUCUCGCAUUUACAUAAUGCGGCAUCCCUCACCAAACCGGUUGCUCGGCCAGAAGAGCCACAUGUUCAGGACACCAGAUCAAAUGCUACAAGGUACAAUUCAAGCGCGGCACCCAACUCAAACAGGCAGGGCACAGCUAGGAAAGGCCCUGCUGACUUUGCAAACCAUCUUCGUGCCCGGUAUCCGAGCCUUUUCUCACACCCGGUAGCAAUUUAUCUGAGAGAACACAAUGCUCGUGCCAUGCGCAACAUGUUCGAAUUGCAGCAGGCAUCAUGCGACGUGAUGGUUGCUUUUGCAGACAAGAUAAUGAUUAGUUUAGCCGAUGGGUUUUACCGAGUAACUUCAACACCCCUGGGCAUGAAACUCAUGCAUUGCGAGACAUUGCAAUUGCUGGUGCAUCACAUACACCUGUCAAUGUCCCACCAAUCCGUUCUUUGGGUGCUAGCUUGCCGCCUGCAGUACAUGCGGAUGCUUGCUUGA